ensembl:lncRNA
GCUCUUUGCGACCCCACGGACUGUACCCCACCAGGCUCCUCUGUCCGUGGGAUUUCCCAGGCAAGAAUGCUGGAGCGGGUUGCGAUGACCUCCCCCUAGGGAUCUUCCCCACGCGGGGACGGGACCCAUGUCUCUUACCUCUGCUGCGCUGGAAGGCAUCAGUCAAGUGGGAGAACCUCUGAUUGAAGCAGAGCUAACCGGAUUCCUUGCGUGGGAUUUCACACAUGGAUCAUGGAAAAGAGAAGAUCUCUCUCUGCUGAAGGAUUUGCCUGUGAAGUCAGUUGAUCCUGGACUUUUGUUGGGGUUUUUUUAAUCCCAGUUUCAACUUCGGUACUUGUGAUUGGCCUGCUCGUAUUUCCCAUUUCUUCCUGCUUCCUGCUCACGUGGAUGCUGGGCAUAGAGCUCAAAGUCCACAGCCCGGCCCAGGAUGGAGUCCUGCUUUCAAGAUGGAGCCUGUUGUGUUUCCGCCUUCAUACAGACACAUGUGUGGUACAGUUGGAUCACUGUGCUAUACUCCUGAAACUAACAUAACAUUGUCUAUCAAGUAUACUUUAAUUUUUUUAAAAAAAAGGAUGAAAAUGAAUAAACAAGUAACUCUCAA